rnacentral:lncRNA from 10 species
AUCUAAUUUUAAACAAUUUCCAAUGGUGCCUGUUUCCUUUUCUUUGAAAAUCUCUGGAGAAAUAGUUCCUCUUGCUGUGUCUUUCUUUAGGCAAGAAUUUUUACUAAUUGAUGUGUAGUCUGAAUCCUGGCUAAGUAUAAACCUUUUAUUUUUUAUACCUGUUCUUAGUGAAAAUGAAACUGUGACUUUUUUUUUAAUUCCUUUUGUUGGUCAAAAACUACAAUUAACUCUUCUGAGUUUCUUCUCUGGCUGAACAAACAAUGGUCCCAUUGGCCUUUCAGGGAACUCCAGGCCGUCUCAAAAACCUUCAUGUUUCAUUUCUUUUCAGAGCUCCCAAAAAGAAUAGCUUGCUCUUGACGUUGUACAUGUUAGUGGAAUGAUCAGGACUACUUUGCAAAGAUGAAAAAUUUGUGUUUCUAGUGAUUUGAAAAUAGAAAUCUGAUGUAACUAUUAGAUAUUGGGAAAGAAGGUGACGAAGGUUUGUUACAGAAGGAGAAAGUGGCAGUUGAAGCAUUUCAGAUUUGCUGCCUUCUCCUACCUCCUGAAAAUAGGAGAAAGUUACAGCUAUUGAUGAGGAUGAUGGCAAGGAUUUGCUUAAACAAAGAGAUGCCACCCCUGUGUGAUGGCUUUGGUACCCGAACACUGGUAGGU